rnacentral:ncRNA from 2 species
GCGCGGUCUGGUCAAAGGAGGCUUGGUCUGAAGAUAGGGUCUUGAUUAGGACGGUGGCCAUGGAAGUUGGAAUCCGCUAAGGAGUGUGUAACAACUCACCCGCCGAAGCAACUAGCCCCGAAAAUGGAUGGCGCUCAAGCGUCGCACCUAUACCGUGCCGUCGGAGCAGAUGCGAAGCUCCGACG